GUGGACGCCAGUCUGCAUGGAGCCGACCUUGAAAUACCACCCUUUAAUGUUUGAUGUUCUAACGUGGACCCGUGAUCCGGGUUGCGGACAGUGUCUGGUGGGUAGUUUGACUGGGGCGGUCUCCUCCUAAAGAGUAACGGAGGAGCACGAAGGUUGGCUAAUCCUGGUCGGACAUCAGGAGGUUAGUGCAAUGGCAUAAGCCAGCUUGACUGCGAGCGUGACGGCGCGAGCAGGUGCGAAAGCAGGUCAUAGUGAUCCGGUGGUUCUGAAUGGAAGGGCCAUCGCUCAACGGAUAAAAGGUACUCCGGGGAUAACAGGCUGAUACCGCCCAAGAGUUCAUAUCGACGGCGGUGUUUGGCACCUCGAUGUCGGCUCAUCACAUCCUGGGGCUGAAGUAGGUCCCAAGGGUAUGGCUGUUCGCCAUUUAAAGUGGUACGCGAGCUGGGUUUAGAACGUCGUGAGACAGUUCGGUCCCUAUCUGCCGUGGGCGCUGGAGAACUGAGGGGGGCUGCUCCUAGUACGAGAGGACCGGAGUGGACGCAUCACUGGUGUUCGGGUUGUCAUGCCAAUGGCACUGCCCGGUAGCUAAAUGCG
rnacentral:rRNA from 2 species